rnacentral:tRNA from 2 species
GCCCGGGUGGUGGAAUGGCAGACACAAGGGACUUAAAAUCCCUUUCCCUUCGGGGAGUGCGGGUUCGACUCCCGCCCCGGGCACCA